UACGAAGGGUGCAAGCGUUACUCGGAAUCACUGGGCGUAAAGCGUGCGUAGGCGGUUGGUUAAGUCUGCUGUGAAAGCCCUGGGCUCAACCUGGGAACUGCAGUGGAUACUGGCCAGCUAGAGUGUGAUAGAGGAUGGUGGAAUUCCCGGUGUAGCGGUGAAAUGCGUAGAGAUCGGGAGGAACACCAGUGGCGAAGGCGGCCAUCUGGAUCAACACUGACGCUGAGGCACGAAAGCCAGGGGAGCAAACGGG
rnacentral:rRNA from 1 species